rnacentral:lncRNA from 1 species
AUGAGCAAGGGGAGGCCUGGCUGGAGGGACCAAGGUGGGUCCUCCAAGGAAGUGGCAUUUCCUCUGAGCUUCCCGGGGGAGCAGAGGUUUGCCAGGUACGUGGGAGGAGCUUCCCAGAGGAAGGGCCAGCACCUGCAAAGGCCCUGGAGUGGGAGAAACCUGGAGGAAGUCGAAAGAAGCAGCUCGGCGGGGGCGGGAAUACCCCACCCACGGCCCCGGCGUCUUGCCGGGCGCUCAGCCUCCCUCUGGCCUCUGUGGAGGCCUCCCUGCAUCGCCCUCCUGGAACGUCAGCCUCUCCAGAGCGGGAACUUCCGUUCCAUCUUGUUCAAGCUGCGCCCCGGAGCCUGGAACAGCCAGCACCUGGCGCUCAGCAGGUGUUCCAUCCGUUCUGGCUGCUCCCCCAAGACAGACAAGAACGGCGAGGGGAAGAGGGUUCCCCAAAGCCUCUGCCUGCCUUCUGCAGCUGAGCUGCUUCAGCCUCUGUGGGACACCCAUUUGAAGGAACCUGUCCAAAUCCAUGUAAGAGAUCUCCUAUUUUUUCCCUCCCACCUGAGGCUCUUCCUCCUCACCAGACACCUGUUCCAAGGAAGCUCCUGCAACUAGGUAAGAUGAAU